CACGGGUUGAGCUCUUUCCUGCUGCCUUGAGCCUGAGGCAGGCUAUUCUUCCUGUGCGGCUCCACAGCUUCAGGCCAGCCCCCUCCCCGCUCAAAUCCCUGAGGCAGAGCUCCUCUGAAGAAGACUUCCGAUAUUAGGUUGCCUGGGCCCAGCUUGAAUCAGGCACCCCCAGCCGAGUCGCCCUCCAGGGGAUGGAAUACGGGACUCCCAGCCCCGGAAAACGGAGUCCGCCUGAGCCACGGGACUCGGAUGGAAGGCAAGUGAAGCCUGAUACCUCAGUGCAGAUACGUGGCUGGCUUUGUUGCAGGAUUUUCCUUAGUUUAGCUAAAGACGGGAUCUUGUCCAUCCCAUGGCCAUGAAAAUUUAGGCUCACAGACGCUUUAAAGGGUUCCACACAGGAAGAGGCGGUUCCCAGGUUCCACACAGGAAGAGGCGGUUCCCAGGUUCCACACAGGAAGAGGCGGUUCCCAGGUUCCACACAGGAAGAGGCGGUUCCCAGGUUCCACACAGGAAGAGACGCCCAGGUUCCACACAGGAAGAGACGCCCAGGUUCCACACAGGAAGAGGCGGUUCCCAGGUUCCACACAGGAAGAGGCGGUUCCCAGGUUCCACACAGGAAGAGGCGGGGCGAGGCUCCUCCCUGCUGCAAAGGUCACAAACCUCGAGGCUUCGUCUCAGCGGGCGGGCUGGUUCUCCAGGGACCCCCUCCCACCUGGCUGUCUCAACUUGAGCAGCUGUCCAUGCUGGGGUGCCCGCCAGGGGUGUGGGAACCACUCCCAAGAGGCCUAGCAGUCCCAGCACUGACCAGGGUUGACCCGAGGAGUAACCUGCCUCCCCCGGAAAACCUGAGCUGUCUUCUUCCCACCUCAGUCACCACCCAGAUGUGAAGUAAUGCAAAAGGCUCAACGUGGUCAAAAGAGCCCCGUUAGCCAGAAUCUAGCCUCGGUUGCAAAGCAGCUUAACAUGCAACAGCUCCCUACACGUUCUCCUGACCCCACCCUCCACCAACCCCCAAAGGCAGAAGCCAUGAAGUCAGGACAAAGAAGGGUGGUGGCCAUGAUAUCCCAUUGUUCUACAGGUACAGGACCACACAACGAGGACAAAAUAAGACGUUUAAAUAUUCGAAAGAGCUGUCUCUACUAUAAUGUAGAUGAUACAUUUAUAAACCUGGAAAACUCACAAGAAUGGACUGUGAAGGUCAGAAAACACCAAGGGUUGCCGGCAAAAUCAGAAGCCAAGAGAAAGGCAUGGACCAGAUUCACCCCUAGGACCUUCAGAAAGACCAUGGGCUUCCAGUACCUUCACGUUGGACUCCAGCCUCCAGAACUGUGAGAAAAUACAUUCUUACUGUCUUCAGACGCGCAGUUUGCGGUCAUUUGUUACGGCAGUCUUAGCACACUAAUAAGGAUCUCAGUUCUUCCCAUGUUGGCUACAAGGUUAAUUCGAUCCUGAUCAAAGUCCUAAAAAGGUUUGUUUGGGUUUGAGGUUUUGUGCUUUGACUUGUUGUUCAGUUGGUUGGUUGGUUUUUUGUUUGGUUUAAGAUAGUGUUUUCUAUUUUUUUCCUCUUGUUUUUGCUUUUUUGGAAGGGUAAGAGACUUAAAUGUCAACGUAUCAGAAUGAAAACAGAGUUAGAUCCAGGAAAUUUCUGAAAAAGAGAAGUAACAGAGCAGGACCAGCACUCCCUUCCAGGGAGUGGCCCCGCUGCUGAGAGGGAGGGCCCGGGACAGAAGACGGAGUUCCAAAAUAGGCUAAGUAUAAACGGGGAUUUAGUACACAACGGGGGAGGAAUGUCAAAUCAGUGGGCAAA
rnacentral:lncRNA from 1 species